CCUUUAGUCCAAACCUUCUUGUCAUAAGCCUGAUCUCGUCUGACCUCAGGAGCUAAGCAGGGCUGGUCCUGGUUUGGACUUGGAUGGGAGACUGUUGGGAAUACCAAGUGUGACAGUGGGG
rnacentral:rRNA from 1 species